rnacentral:rRNA from 1 species
AGUGAACGCUGGCGGUAGGCCUAACACAUGCAAGUCGAACGGCAGCACAGUAAGAGCUUGCUCUUACGGGUGGCGAGUGGCGGACGGGUGAGGAAUACAUCGGAAUCUACUUUUUCGUGGGGGAUAACGUAGGGAAACUUACGCUAAUACCGCAUACGACCUACGGGUGAAAGCAGGGGAUCUUCGGACCUUGCGCGAUUGAAUGAGCCGAUGUCGGAUUAGCUAGUUGGCGGGGUAAAGGCCCACCAAGGCGACGAUCCGUAGCUGGUCUGAGAGGAUGAUCAGCCAAACUGGAACUGAGACACGGUCCAGACUCCUACGGGAGGCAGCAGUGGGGAAUUUUGGGCAAUGGGCGCAAGCCUGACCCAGCCAUGCCGCGUGGGUGAAGAAGGCCUUCGGGUUGUAAAGCCCUUUUGUUGGGAAAGAAAAACAGCGGGUUAAACCCCCGCUGUUCUGACGGUACCAAAAAAAAAAGCCCCGGCUAACUUCGU